GAAGGAGAAUGGAAAUUUAAUGGAGAAGUGAAUCCUGCCCCCAGUUAUCAGAGCUUUGUUUGAGACAGUCCUGAACUGAAAUAAUGGAAUCCGGAUUCCUUGAUAUACAAAAAGAUUUAGGUGUGUAUGAACCUGAGUACUGAGGUAUAGGGAGCUACCUUCAAUUUCAAUUGAGGAAAGAAAUUUGGACAUUCUUGACAGGAGCCACAGGAGCUGAAAUCAGAAGAGAAUCUCACCAGAGAUUAAGUGCAAGGAUCACACUGAGAGCUAGAAACUGUGAGCUGUAUUCCCAUUGCUUGCUAUGGAACAUGGGAGCAAUGACAGCAUGUCAGGUCAAGAGACUGGUACCCGUAUCUCAACAGUGGCUGAGAGAAUUCUGA
rnacentral:lncRNA from 14 species